UCAGAGACUGGUCACAUAGAUGGGUCAAAUAUGCUAAUAUAUUAAGGAUACUGAGAGCCAGAUUUCUCAUUGUCAGAGAAGGGAGUUACUAAUAUUGAAGUAGAGAAAAUGAAUAUGAACCUUGGGAUGUUAAACUGAAAUUGGAGAAUGUGCUCUAGAGAAUAUGCUCUACAAAAAAGGAGAGAGUAAGCCGAAUCAGAAGACAACCUGGGACACAAAAAAACGAGAUUCAACACAGGAGAGACAGAAAAAUGCUGAAGAGAUACCUGGGGCCACAGCUGUAGACUAAACAGAGGGGCAACCAGUCCAGAUUGGAACAGAAGAUUCCAAGCACCAAGUUUAGGACACAGUUAUUAAUAUCCAAGGAAAUAACCUUUUGUUCCUCAUCAAAAACAACUUUUCACAUCCAGACCAAAUAAAAAUGUUAACUCUCAAAAGUAUUUUGCCAAAACUUCAAAAUA